UGCUGGUGUGAGUGCUCGCUAGAGCCUUCUU
rnacentral:piRNA from 1 species